rnacentral:rRNA from 1 species
ACGAACGCUGGCGGCGUGCUUAACACAUGCAAGUCGAACGGAAAGGCCCCCUUGUGGGGUACUCGAGUGGCGAACGGGUGAGUAACACGUGAGUAACCUACCCUUGACUUUGGGAUAACUUCAGGAAACUGGGGCUAAUACCGGAUAGGAGCUCCUGCUGCAUGGUGGGGGUUGGAAAGUUUCGGCGGUUGGGGAUGGACUCGCGGCUUAUCAGCUUGUUGGUGGGGUAGUGGCUCACCAAGGCUUUGACGGGUAGCCGGCCUGGGAGGGUGACCGGCCACAUUGGGACUGAGAUACGGCCCAGACUCCUACGGGAGGCAGCAGUGGGGAAUAUUGCACAAUGGGCGGAAGCCUGAUGCAGCAACGCCGCGUGCGGGAUGACGGCCUUCGGGUUGUAAACCGCUUUCGCCUGUGACGAAGCGUGAGUGACGGUAAUGGGUAAAGAAGCACCGGCUAACUACGUG